AUUGAACGCUGGCGGCAGGCUUAACACAUGCAAGUCGAGCGGGGUGAUGGUGCUUGCACUAUCACUUAGCGGCGGACGGGCGAGUAAUGCUUAGGAAUCUGACUAUUAGUGGGGGACAACAUCUCGAAAGGGAUGCUAAUACCGCAUACGUCCUACGGGAGAAAGCAGGGGAUCACUUGUGACCUUGCGCUAAUAGAUGAGCCUAGGUCGGAUUAGCUAGUUGGUGGGGUAAAGGCCUACCAAGGCGACGAUCUGUAGCGGGUCUGAGAGGAUGAUCCGCCACACUGGGACUGAGACACGGCCCAGACUCCUACGGGAGGCAGCAGUGGGGAAUAUUGGACAAUGGGGGGAACCCUGAUCCAGCCAUGCCGCGUGUGUGAAGAAGGCCUUAUGGUUGUAAAGCACUUUAAGCGAGGAGGAGGCUCUUUUGGUUAAUACCCAAGAUGAGUGGACGUUACUCGCAGAAUAAGCACCGGCUAACUCUGUGCCAGCCGCCGCUGUAA
rnacentral:rRNA from 1 species